UGAGGAAUCUUGCGCAAUGGGGGGAAACCCUGACGCAGCAACGCCGCGUGAGUGAAGAAGGCUCUCGGGUCGUAAAGCUCUGUCAAGUGGGAAGAACCUGUCCUAUGUUAAUAAC
rnacentral:rRNA from 1 species